rnacentral:rRNA from 1 species
GACGAACCGUGCGUACGUUAUUCGGAAUCACUGGGCUUAAAGGGUGCGUAGGCUGGUUGCCAAGUCUGUGGUGAAAUCCUCCGGCUUAACCGGAGAACUGCCGUGGAUACUGGCGACCUCGAGUGGGGUAGGGGCUUGCGGAACUGUGCGUGGAGCGGUGAAAUGCGUUGAUAUGCACAGGAACUCCGGUGGCGAAGGCGGCAAGCUGGACCCUAACUGACGCUGAGGCACGAAAGCUAGGGGAGCAAACAGG